rnacentral:rRNA from 1 species
GGAGGAAAAGAAACCAACAGGGAUUGCCUUAGUAACGGCGAGUGAAGCGGCAAAAGCUCAAAUUUGAAAUCUGGCGCCUUCGGUGUCCGAGUUGUAAUUUGAAGAAGGUAACUUUGGAGUUGGCUCUUGUCUAUGUUCCUUGGAACAGGACGUCACAGAGGGUGAGAAUCCCGUGCGAUGAGAUGCCCAAUUCUAUGUAAAGUGCUUUCGAAGAGUCGAGUUGUUUGGGAAUGCAGCUCUAAGUGGGUGGUAAAUUCCAUCUAAAGCUAAAUAUUGGCGAGAGACCGAUAGCGAACAAGUACAGUGAUGGAAAGAUGAAAAGAACUUUGAAAAGAGAGUGAAAAAGUACGUGAAAUUGUUGAAAGGGAAGGGCUUGAGAUCAGACUUGGUAUUUUGCGAUCCUUUCCUUCUUGGUUGGGUUCUCCGCAGCUUACUGGGCCAGCAUCGGUUUGGAUGGUAGGAUAAUGAUUAAGGAAUGUGGCUCUACUUCGGUGGAGUGUUAUAGCCUUGGUUGAUACUGCCUGUCUAGACCGAGGACUGCGUCUUUGACUAGGAUGCUGGCAUAAUGAUCUUAAGCCACCCGUCUUG